CUGUGGCUGUAUGAUGCCAUCGGGGACAUGGGCCUCUACUCUCUACUCUAUUCUCAAGGUCACCUUGUGGUGAAAAUGACUGCUGAAACCCCAGUCAUCCUGUCUGGUUCUACGCUGGAAGAAACGGUCAUGACCAAAGGGUGCGGCAAGUUUAUCUGUUCACUGAGAAGUUCCAGAGACUAAAACGUGAAGCAAAUCAGGCCCAUCUGGAACUCUCACCAGGAGACUGCCUGAAUUUACAAGGUAGCUGCCUGCAGAGGCACCAGCCAGACCUCCUGAUAGCAGGAAGAAGAACAGACAUAAAACAUAACAGGAAGCUGUGUUGCUCCAAAAAUAUCACAGGAUCGAAUGACACGAAAACCUUCACCAAACUUGGGACCAUGACACCAUUCACACUUGGAGGUGCUGAAAUGGAGGAAACAGCAAAUGGCAUAAUUACCAUGAAAGUUCCUAAGAAUUACUCAUCUAUCCAUCAAGACUGGUUUGAAAUUUUUGGAGUAGACAAAGCCCUAUGUAGAAAAAGUCCCCUGAGAAAUUUUCAUUAUCAUUAAGAUACUUUUUUUUUUGGUUGUUGCAUGCGUUUCCUAGAGAUGACAUAACAAAUUACCAAAUCUGGGUGGCUUAAAGUAACUGAAAUUUAUUUUCUCACAGUUCAGGGGGCCAGAAGUCCAAAAUCAAAGUGUUAGCAGGGUUGGUUCCCUUGGGAGGCUCUGAGGGAGAAACUGUCCCUUGCUUCUCCCCAGCUCCCAGUGGUUGCCUGCGAUCUUUGGCAUUCCUUGGCUUGUGGCAGAACAACUCCAGCCUCUGCCUUUGUCUUCACAUGCCUUUCUUACAGGGACAAUAGCCACUGAAUUUGGGGCCCACCCUUCUCCAAGUUAGUAUAAAAAUGACCUGAGAUUAACUAACCGUAUCUGCAAAGACCCUCUCUCCAAAUAUGGUCACAUUGAAGUUCUAUACAGACAUCAAUUUCUGAGGGACGCUAUUCAACCCACUACAGUUGCAUUAAGACUUUCCUAGUAAAAUACCUUUGAUUUUUCUUUCCAUCAAGAUAAGUACUUAAAGGGAAGAACCAAAGAAUAGAAACACCCGGUAAAAUAUAGUUGUGCCGUCACAAGCCCUGAUUCCUUGGGGAUGAAAGUGGGAAUUGCUUCCUGAAGACUGGAAUUGAAGGGCUCAGUAUCAUAGUCUCCAUAAUCCCUUGUAAACACCCCCUUCUCUGUGGAUGCUGUUCUCAGAGACUUUCUUGUUUUCCAUAUAAAUAAAAGAUGAAAAGUUA